rnacentral:rRNA from 1 species
GAUGAACGCUGGCGGCGUGCCUAAUACAUGCAAGUCGAGCGAUCAGACGAGGAGCUUGCUCCUCUGACGUUAGCGGCGGACGGGUGAGUAACACGUGUAUAACCUACCUAUAAGACUGGUAUAACUUCGGGACACCGGCUCUAAUACCGGAUAAUAUAUUCAACCGCAUGGUUCAAUAGUGAAAGGCGGUUUUGCUGUCACUUAUGGAUGGGUCCUUGCCGCAUUAGCGAGUUGGUAAGGUAACGGCUUACCAAGGCAACGAUGCGUAGCCGACCUGAGAGGGUGAUAGGCCACACUGGAACUGAGACACGGUCCAGACGCCUACGGGAGGAAGCAGUAGGGAAUCGUCCGCAAUGGGCGAAAGCCUGACGGAGCAACGCCGCGUGAGUGAUGAAGGUCUUCGGAUCGUAAAACUCUGUUAUUAGGGAAGAAAAAAUGUGUAAGUAACUAUGCACGUGUUGACGGUACCUAAUCAGAAAGCCCCGGCUAACUACGUG